GAUGAACGCUAGCUACAGGCUUAACACAUGCAAGUCGAGGGACCGGCGCACGGGUGAGUAACACGUAUCCAACCUGCACUUUACUAGGGGAAGGCUUUUCGAAAGAUAGAUUAAUACCCGAUAGAAAGGAUGGGGAUGCGUUCCAGUAGGUUGGGGGUGAGGUAACGGCGCACCAAGCCUUCGAUGGAUAGGGGUUCUGACAGGAAGGUACCCUACAUUGGAUCUACGACACGGACCAAACUCCUACGGGAGGCAGCAGUGAGUAACAUUCGUCAAUGGGAGCUAGCCUGACCCAGCCAGGUAGCGUGAAGAAUGGAGACUUAUGGGAUGUCAACUUCUUGUGUAUAAGAAUCUGUACUAUAUGAAGAAGGAUCGGCUAACUCCGUGCCAGCAGCCGCGGUAAUAC
rnacentral:rRNA from 1 species